CUCAUCUCAUGCCCAGGCACACAUACGGCCCUGCACACCAGUGCCUCCUGGCUCUAUUUUCAUUAGGUCAUUAAGGGACUUUAGGCUCGUAGAAGGCAAGGACUAGUUGUUGUUUUUGUUGUUGUUGUUCUUUCCGUAUUCCCCACCCAGAGCCAACCCUUCAUUUAUUUAUUCAUUCAUUCAAAACAUAUUAGUGUGUACUUUUUUGCCCAUUUGGAUGUGGAUCAUAAAAACUCGAAUGAGCUCCAGCCAUGAACUUGAAGAAAUCCAAUAUUCCCGCACAAACGCGGGGCCGUGCUGAGUGCUGUAAUUAUCGUGCAGUGAACUGGGAGAGGGUCACAGGCGAGCAUAUUAGUAAGCAUACAGGCACGGAGGGCAUGCAUCCCGUGCCCUCAGCAGCCUGCAUGCACUCUAUAGCUCCUGUUACAACAGGCCUGUGAGGGGAGGGUGCCCCCAUUUUAGGGAGGAGGCAGCUCAAGUGGCAGAGAAAUGUCAAGCUCAGAUCACCCGGGUGGAGGCCAAUAAGGCUGCAGGUAACAGGUAUCUAAGACCAGGGAGGUGUCCUGGGAAGCCAGCCCAGGCCAGGACUGGCCAGAGGCUGGGUUCCUUCUGGGCAGGAGCCCAAGAGCACUGCGGGGGGCACCCCACGCUCCUGGGAGAACGGAGGGAGCAAUCAGGAAGCCACAACCUGGGAAGAAAUCUCCAUGGAAGAGACUGUAACCUGAGGACAAAGAGCUUAUCCAGGUCAUCCAACGCCUUUCUUGGAGAAGCUCUGCCAGCACAGAACUCUCUGUUCCUGGGGACCCGAGGCUGAGCUGGCUCUCCCGCCCGAUCGAUGGAUGACUUCACAAAGACUGACGCCUACCAGGCACCACGACGGUCCUCAGGGAGGUCUAACGCUGCUCUUGGGACCGCUGCCCACCCUUGCCCCCUGGCUGACCUCUGCUGGGUGGCAGAGCACUCGUAGGGGAGGGGCGCAUGCCACUGGCUGGGUGACCUUGGGCCAGACUGAACCUCAGCUUUCUCCCGCACGAAAUGGGAGUACCUGGCUAGCCCAUGCUCCCCUCACAGGGAAGCGGUCGGGAAAUAAAGUGCUAAGAAGACA